AAAAAAAAAGAAGAAAAAAGAAAAAUGAAAAAGAAUAAAAAGGAAAGAGAAAAAAAACAUGCCCUGAAAAUAGCUUUCUCUUAACGAUAAUCUCCAUUGAACUUCUUCCAAUUUUUCAACUACAAAUGAGUAUCGAUUAUCGUUGAAUAAUUAUAAGAAUGAUGAAUGGAACGACAGUGAUAGAAACUUUUCGACAUUAAUGCGAAAGAUUUUGUCGUAUUUGCUUGUGUAUGUUCAAACGUAGAUUGCAUCGAUAUAUACGCGGAAGGCACUCCCAGUAUAUAAACAAAACUCGAGGAUCACCGUUCCUCCUGAGGAAAAGGAGUAAAAGAAGGAGGAAAUAUAGGAACUUAAUAUAUUCAUGGCACGCGAGUGCCUAAAAUAAAUCGUCUUAAGUAUUCACGCACUUUACGGUUCUCCAUCUGGCAUUAGAAGACCGAUGACGCGCCGAGGCUUUCGUAAAAAAAUGGAAAAAAAAAAAAAAAAAAAAAAAAAAAAAAAGUAAAUACGAGCGUCUCGAAAAAAUUCAAACGGUCGAGCGACCACUUAGCGAGUACUCUCGAGCCGGCGGACACGUGUCCAAAGCGUGGCCGUAGGCGCGACCACGUGUCAACACCAGGAGAAGGAAAGGCUUGCGGAGGAAAGUUCUUGGAAAAAGAAAGCGCAUCGACCCUUUACCGUAUAGAAAAAAAAAAAAAAGGAAGAAGAAAGAAAGAAAAAAGGAAAGAAACCAAUCCAUGGAUAUCCUCGGAUAGAAAUAAAAAGAUAUUUCUAUUUAUAUAUAACCGAAUCGAUGUUUGCGUAUUUAAUAUAUCGUGAAAUGGGAGAGAUAAAAGAAAAAGUAAAGAGAGAGAGAGAGAGAAAAAGAAAAAUAGUUCUAUCAGGCGAAGAAGGGUAAGAGCUUAACAGAGUUUGCGCGCGCACGUAAGCUCCAACACCCUUGGCGCGUGGGCAGUGCUACGGAGGAAAGGCAGUAUAAGAGACCUUCCCUCGCACGUUUGGUCACUCUUUCAAGAGAGACACCUACGUAAGAGAGUAUACUCUCGGGCGUGCAUAAAAGAGAAGAAGAAAAAGAAGAAAGAACGAGAGGAGAGACGAAGAAAGCAAGUAGACUUGAGCGAGAACGAGUGAGGUCGCGCGCGCGCGCCGGUAAAAACGGCGCGAGGUGGCCGGUCGCGUGCAAGAAGGUAGGGGGAAAUAGGCGUGGUUCGCGGUGCACGUCCGUAGUCGUACUAACGCGAGACGGGCUCGUCGUGCGCCCACCUCGAGAGGGCUCGCCGGGGCUCGCGCGAAGGGGGACGAGACUGCCCGAAGAAAGCCGAAUAGUGGGGGUAAGCGGCACGGGCUCUCUUAGUGGAAUGGUGGGGAUGAACGAAGCUACGAUCAACUCCACACAUUGAAGACGAACCACAUGGAUGAAGGCAACGGGUCUCUCAAAGUUCACGCACACGAAAAUCCAACUGUGGACGCAGCCUGCGCACGUGUAGGGAUUUUACAUGUGAGAGCGAGCGAGAGAUGUAGAAAGAAAAAGAGAGAACGAGGAGAGAUAGAAACAGAGACAGAGAGAGAGAGAGAGAGAAAAGAGAGAUAGUAGGAGAGAAGAGAGAGAGAAAGAGAGAGGGGGAUGGAGAGUGAUGCCGAAGAAGGAAUAAGGGAGAAGGGGGAAGCGAUGUAGAAGGUAGAGGGGGUAACCGAACGCGGCCGAAGGUGAAACCCGCGAGCCGAGCUCGACUCGCAGUCGGCGCGAGACCGCGCUACUGGAAGGGUCGUUGUUAUCGUUGACGUUACUAUUAUUUGUUAUUGUUCUUCUUCUUCUAUCGUGUCGCGUAUAUGCACGCACGAAUUUUUUCUUAUCGAUACGAACACAUCACUACCUUUUACUAAAACUAAUUUUCCUUCUUAUUUUCCUCCUUUUCCUCUUGCACCUCAUUCUCUUCGAUCUCCUCCUUCUCCUCCUCCUUCUUCUUUUCCUCCUCCUCCUCCUCCUCCUUCUUCUCUUUAUCCUCUCGCUCGCGACGCGAACUCGAUAACGAGAGAAGAAAGAAGAAAAAAAAGAAGAGGAAGAAAGAAGGGUUGAUACUCUUGCUCGAUUAACCUCCCACCAUCGAAUCUUUUUCUCCUCCUCCUCCUCCUCCUCCUCCUCCUCUUCCUCCUCCUCCCUUUCGUCUUCCUCCUACUCUCCCUCUCUGAAGAAUCUCCUCCCCUUUCCCCUCACUCUAUCUUUCUCUCUCGUUCUUCACUACCACCACCACCACCACCACCUCCUCCUCCACCUUCACCUCCACGUCCACCUCCGUUCGUAUGUUCGUCGCUGGUUUCUCGCGCGCGCGAACAGACAAACGUCGCCGAGGCACUCUCGCUCCAUCGUACUACCAUAGUUAGCCCCAAGGAAGAAGAGGAUAGGAGGAAGACGAAGAAGUUGGAUCUCGAGUCUGUGAUAUCUCUUGAUAUACGUGCCUCUCUCUCCCCCGUCCACCCUAAUAUCUAUAUAUACUCUUGUCUUUUUACUCUCUGCCCUUUACAAUACUCGCUCGUCCUUUUCUACUUGCACUCGCCAGAAGUUUUGCGCAAGAAGAGGGUAGCACUCGCGUAGUCGUCGGUGGCGAAAGAAAAAAAAAGAAAAGAAAAAGAAGGGAAUGAAAGUUUAGCGUUUUUUCCCUGUUUGAUGUGACGAACCAGUGUUCUUUGCGUUACUCCUAGAAGUGACAAAAAUUUGUCUGAAAGAAAUAAGAAGGAAAGAAGAAAGAAGACGGGAUACAAGAAAAGAAAGAAAGAAAGAAAGAGAGAAAGAGAGAGAGAGGGAAAACGUGUAUCGUGUGUGUGCGUGCGUGUGCAACUAAUUAUAUAUACACAUAUAUAUAUAUAUAUACACACACGUAUAUAUACAUUUAAAUGAAGUGAAAUGAGCGAGUCUUCUUCUUUGUUGUUAUUGUUAUUUGUUGUUUCCACUUCUUAUUCUUGCGGCGACAAGCAGAAUCAUAGUGGAGGACGUUGCUCGAUUGCCAUUUGAUCGAAAUUUCCUCUCUCUCUCUCUCCUUUCUCGUUCAUCAUACAUACAUCGUGCCCGAUAGCUGUGAUAAUACUCUCGAAGGAUACUACAAAUUUACACUACGACUUACGCUUUUCUUCUAUGAUACACAACGCGUCGUUCAGUGCCUGUUCUAUUGCUGUGAUCGCGUGACAUUAUUAUUGUUGUUAUUGUUGGAUCAACGUGUACUGAGAAACGUCGACGUCUUCCAGCUCAAAGGAUCGGAAAAGAAAAGGAGGAAGAAUAGAAGGAAAAGAAGAAGAAGAAGAAGAAGAAGGAGGAGAAACAUUUUCAGAAUCGGAAGGAACUGAAUAUCGAAGGAAACGGAUGCUCAAGAUCCUUUAAAAUUCGACCGGUGAGUCCCUGACGUAUCCGGGGUGCCAGCUGCUCCAUUGGAAGUACUACGAUGAGGACAACGACGACAACGACGACGACGACGACGACGAAUCGAACUUUGUUUCUUGGUUCCGUCGAAUGCACUGGCGAUGCUUUCGAAAGAUAUCCAACUAACGGGUGAUACGUGAGAUAAACGAUGCGAGACAGACGAGUACCUAGACGUUGGCGGUGCGAGUGAGGGCGUGCUGACGUGAGACGCCAUGACGCUGAGUGCGUUCCAAAAAUACGACGGCACUUUGGCACGGCAUACUCUGCGCCCACUGAGUUUAGCGGUUGUUUACAUCGAUAAAGAAGCUGUUUCAAGUGCCAUUCCGGGCCAUUAGUGACCUCUUACAUUAUCUAGAAAUCCAACGGAAUCUCGAGAUAUCCCAUGAAAACUGAAUAGGCUAACAUGUCUCUUUCUUCAUCAACGAUUAUAUCAUAAUAAAGAUUCUAAGAGUUAUCGGUGUAAUUCACUUAGUAUUAAUCAAAUUUCAUUGAAAUAAUUCAUCAAAUAAUUCAUAAAUUUGUGAAACUUGAAAGAAGAAAUUAAUGCUAACGUGAAACAGCUAUACACAAACGUAGGGUCCCGAGAAAAGAUAGUUGUUUUCGGGUUUAUGCGAUGCGCGGAGUGACGUUUAGUGGGUGUUUUCGGUUUCCGUUUUGGUCCCAACGAAACGAGGUGUUAAUUCGUUCACUCGAAAACGCUGGAUCACGGAGUCGUGUCGACAGUUGUGAAUUAUUAUUACGUUCCACUUCGUCGCCACGUAUGAUUCGUGAGAACGAGGCUUAAGGCUUGCGGCGUGAACGAGUCCUGAAGGAGUCCUGGACAGAUGCGAUUCCACCUGAAAGGGACGCUACGCGUAUCAGGACUGUACGUGCUCGCACGUUGAAUUAGGUGGAAAAGCAAACAAGACGUUUCUCUACUCGUUUAUACCGUCGAAACGAAGGGACGUGAUGUCAAGUUACGGCCAUUAAUAAGGCGAACUUUGAAUUGAGGCAGCGGAGGGGAUGGGGGAAGUUUUCGUAGCAGAGAUCACGUACGAAUUAACAACGUGGAAUGAGAAGAGAGUAUCGUAUCGGAAACAAGGAAGCUUCGUGAUAUACGAUUAAAAAACUCAUUUUCGUUGCACCUUGCAUGUAGCCGGCCACGCCUGUUAAAUUAUAUUUUUCCAAAUAGCUCAGGGUUACGCCCAUCCGUUAAGCUCAUAUUCGAUCUUUCCGGUAUUCGAUUCUCUUCGCUUGUGUUUCCUGUUAUGUAUGUCUGAUGCCAAUGAUCAAAUGUAAAAGAUAGAAAGAAUAAAACACGAAAAUUCAUUAUGUAUUCAUCGAUGCGAUUAUGAUGUUAGAAUGUUUUUUAUGAAAAUCAUAAUUUUAAAAUACGACGAGACGCGUGAAUUUAUUAAUAAACAUUCGGUCAUUGCUCACGAUAUCGUUCGAAACAAACUCACCUCGUUAUACGUUGUAAGACGAAAGAGAAACGACAGGAAAUUGACGGAAGAGUUACGAGCUUCUUAUGACGAACACCGAGCGGUACGCGCCACCUUUUCAUUGUUCGCUUCGUUAAAAGCAUUAGCACGGUCAUUAUUCUUAAUUACCACGCACGCUCUGUCGUGCGCGUAGCUCUUCUCGAAUGGUACCGUGCGUCGAGUACUUACAGUUCGCCACUACGCAACACCGCCCUCCUUUGUACCUUACGAUGCGACAUUUUCGUUUUACUUUUAGCCUUUCCACGAUCAUUAUUUUACGACGUACAGAUCGUUUCGAAAAUAAGCUGACGUACGUUGAAUAACAAUGUGUCUCGAAGAUGUGAAAGGAAGAAAAGAAAAAAAAAAAAAAAAAAAAAAAAAAAAAAAAAAAGGAAAAGAAUAUUCAUAAAUAUUUUCACUUUUAGGAAAUGAUUAGGAGAUAAGAACUAAACUUAAUUACGUCUAUAUCAAUUUUCAAAUGUACGAAGAAUCGCAAUAGGCAUUGCUAUUUUUGUAUUGAGUGCAUAAAUUCAUUUGGUAACGUAUUACACGUUUCGUCGCCUACGUACCUAUUGCUCUUACGUAUCAUUUAUUUCUCCCUGACAUACGUUCGUUUAUUUUAAAAGUUGCUCGUGCAAUAAAUGACCGAGUAGUUCUAAGUUCUUAAAGUAACUUUUAAAAUUUUCCCACUGUCUCGACAUAGAUUGAUCGCGAUAACGAUCGAUCAUACUUUUUGAAAAAUCGAUUUCCAAUUUGAUAUUUGCAUAUCUAUUUACGUUGCUCUGUUGAGGAAUGGAAAGUAAAACUGAAAGGACGUCUAUAAUGAGCUGUUUAUUUUAUCUUUAUAAAUUUUUAUGAAAAAAAAAAAAAAAAAAAAAAAAAACGAGGAAGACGAUUUAUGCGAAGCACAGUAUAGAGAAGUUCUCGAUGAAUGGAUAUCGCGUGAAUGACCGAGGGAAUAGCCUUAGGAAAGAUUCACUUGCAUCCGUUGAAGCAUGCGUGAUCUAGAACGAUCGUCUCGAAGCUCUCUAACGAUCCUGCUCUUCUCUACUGUCUCCAAAUGUUCGAAGGGAUCGACGUCUUUGUGAUCUUUCGCCCGAGGUAUGCAUAAAUACAUUGAAAACAAAAAGACAACGAAAAAGAAGGAAAGAGAUAGCGAAUCGGGAUACUGAGGGUAGAGUGAAAACGAGAAGGAAUGAGAGAGAGAGAGGGAGAGAGAGGGAGAGAGAGAAAUAAAGAGAGAGAAAAGAAGAGAAAGAGAAAAGGGGGGCAUAGCAAGUGGAAAGUGGCAAGCCACCGUUAUCGACCGGCCGAAAACGCGCCGCCUCGAGGCUCAAUAUGCAAACGAUGCUUUAAAACGGGAUAUUUGUGUUUCGCGCGCUCUUCGCUGCGUACAACACACGCAUACAUAAUGAUUACGGAUCAACACACGCGUAUACUUUGCUCGGUAGAUAUACGUAUGUACGCCCCUGUCAUAAGUGGCUCCGUUCCGUAUUUUACUCGAAACUUCACUCACUUUCGACGUAACACCAUACUCCGAGCCGGUAUUAGCUUCGACCAUCUGGACCACACUGGAUAAAGAAAGAAAGUUUCUCUCUCUCUCUCUCUCUCUCUUUCUCUUUCUUUCUCUUGCUUGCUCGCUUACUCUCUCGUGCGAGUCCAUCGUGCGAGUCCAUCGCUCGGGGAUAAAAGUUGCAAAAGCUUUUUUCGAUUCCGACCGCGGAUCAAAGUGGCGGUAGGAUAGAAAUAACUAUGGUAAGGUUCGAGUUACUAGCGUUAUCUCGUUUCUAUCGUCUCGCUACGUUAGUGGUAAUAAUACGGAAUCGUUACGAUCAAACUAAUACAAUAUCUAACGAAUAUAAAAUAGUAAAAAUCUUCCUAAUUAACUUCCACCAUAAAUUAUUCAGCCAUCGGCAGGAUUUUCUUCCUUUAGAGAUGGUACCUCUUAAGCGGGUUUUGCAGUAAACCGCGUAGGCGUGAAAGCUUAGCCGCAACAGGUAGAGCGUGAAUAAUCAACUUCGUGGCGGAAGCGGUGCAUAGAAGAGAACUAAUAUAUAGCUUCUACCUUGAUUCUACUGCUAUAGUUCUCUCAUCGGGGUAUUAGAAAAUCUUCACGGGCAAGUACCACCUUGGCGCGUAGCCGUGAGCUCUCGUAGAAAAAUCAUCCUUUCCGGGGGGUGGAGAUGAGUAAGAACGAAAUUGCGGACUCCGUUAUGGACUAUCGGUACCGCGAUAUGUAUAUAUACUAACCAAUGGAGAAUAUCCGAUCCACUUUGGUAAGAUGUUGCAUUAUAUACUACUAAGUGGCCUUUGAAAUGUAGUCUGGCGGAAGUACGAUAAGUGGGCGCGUCAGUAUAUCGGAUAGAACGUUCGAAAAGAGACUUGAAUCGAUUAUAUUCCUCUUUGGUAUACUUGAAUACUUCAAGCAUUAAACCAAGUAUUUAUGUAUAUAAAAGUGGAAUGAAGAUAAAUGAAACUUCCACGAACUUUGAAAUUAUUAUUUUAGCACGCAGAAAGGAUUUUGCUAUUACAAUUGGAAAUGACCUUUCGUUGCUUCUUAACGGAGGUAGAAAAAAAAGAAAAGAAAUGAUAGAAGCCUCGGGGUAGAACAUUCGAAGGAAGCGAACAAACGCGAGAGAAAGGGUUGCUCUAUAUAUAAGAGACUCGUAGCCUCGGGCACAACUUCGGCUACCAACGUUCCCUCGGCUUACGAAAAAGCAGCGGGGAAUCGAGUACCGGCUGGAGAAGAAGAAGAAGAAGAAGAAGAAGAAGAAGAAGAAGAAGAAGAAGAAGAAGAAGAAGAGGUAGAAGAAGAAGAAGGAGCAAAAGAAGAGGAGGAGAAGAAAGAAGAAAAGGCAGAAGCAGGACAAGGAGGUAAGAAGAGUGCGAGGAUGGGACGUCCAUCUCAUCCAUCCUCCUACCGUAGCCUCGUUCUUGCUUCUCCUAAUGAUAGCGUGCGCUGGCUCCCUCGAUGCACCGGACAAACUCGGCAGAGCGGCAGCAGCGGCGGCAACGGCAAUGGCAGUAGGAACAACAACAACAACAACAACAACAACAACGGCGGUGCACGCCAACGAAGCGACGAUGCAGGCGAAGCUAACUACCAGAGCACGCCUCCGCCUCCUCCGUGCACUAAAACAUUACCACGCCGGCAGCGUCGGCUGCCGUUGCGGCUACCUUCUAGGGUAUCAUCCGAGCCACCAUGGACCAACGGAGGCUGCGGUGGCGGUGAACGACAAUGAACGCUUUUUCGGUUUUUUCCUUUGAGAGUUCUGGAGAGUCCUUGCCGCGCUACCGGACCGGUAUCAGGACGCAUAAUCGCCUGGCAUUCUCUCUCUUUCUCUCUCUUUCUUUCUCUUUCUCCUUUACUCUUUUUCUCUUCGCCGAGGGGCGAGAAUGGACAUUCUGAAGUCUCAAGGGAAGAAAAAAGAAGAAGAAGAGGAAGAAGUAAAGGAGAGGGAGAGAAAGAACUCGAAGUUAUGGCGGCGCCGUGCAAUGACAUCAGUAAGCUAUAACAGGUCCGUACGUCAUUGUUACGUACCGGAGAUUCCAUAGAUGAGACCUUGAUACGGCGUUUAUUAAUGCGAGCAAAGUAUCCCGCUUUUCUUGGAGAAUGCUGCGACCGUCUCGAAUAAAAAGUAUCAAGGAAAGCAAAAGGAAAGAUAAAAGAAAAUUAACUGAAGAAAUUUUAUAAGAGGAUCUCAUUUUCACAUAUAUAUAUAUAUAAUAAUACAUAUAUGUACACAUACA